UUAAAUUGAAGAGUUUGAUCAUGGCUCAGAUUGAACGCUGGCGGCAGGCCUAACACAUGCAAGUCGAACGGUAACAGGAAGAAGAUUGAUGCUUU
rnacentral:rRNA from 1 species